rnacentral:rRNA from 1 species
AAAGAACGCUGGCGGCAUGCCUAACACAUGCAAGUCGAACGAGAUCUUCGGGUCUAGUGGCGCACGGGUGCGUAACGCGUGGGAAUCUGCCCUUUGGUUCGGAAUAACAGUUGGAAACGACUGCUAAUACCGGAUGAUGACGAAAGUCCAAAGAUUUAUCGCCAGAGGAUGAGCCCGCGUAGGAUUAGCUAGUUGGUGUGGUAAAGGCGCACCAAGGCGACGAUCCUUAGCUGGUCUGAGAGGAUGAUCAGCCACAAGGGGACUGAGACACGGGCCAGACUCCUACGCGAGGCAGCAGUGGGGAAUAUUGGACAAGGGGUGAAAGCCUGAUCCAGCAAUGCCGCGUGAGUGAUGAAGGCCUUAGGGUUGUAAAGCCCUUUUACCCGGGAUGAUAAUGACAGUACCGGGAGAAUAAGCUCCUGCUAACUCCGUGCCAGCCGCCGCGGUAA